CAGACACUGGAAUAGCUUAGACUUGGACUUUUUUUGCAACAUGGAAUCAAGAACUACUCUGAUCUUCAUUUGUACCAUGUGGACAACUCUCCUAGAAGGAUGGGGGUUGCCUGUAGUGCCACAGACUGACCUGAAUGACCCGUCUGCAAACCAUAGGGUCAGGAGCAAACGUUGUUCCUGCAACAACCAGAUGGACUCCGAAUGCCACUAUUUCUGCCAUCUGGACAUCAUCUGGGUGAACACGCCAAGUAAGACCACUGUGUAUGGAUUGGGAAGUCCAUUGUCUCGUCGGAGGAGAUCUACAGGCCGCUGUUCAUGUGCUAACCCUGCGGAUCGAACGUGCAAAAGUUUCUGCCACUACAGCUCUGAAAACCCGGCCAUCAUACUGGUGCACCCAUCUCAGCCUGAACAUAAGAAACUGGAACAACCCAAAAUAGAUCACCCAAUCGCUCUCAACAGUGGAAAUGCCAGUCCUGAAGUUCAGAUUUUAGGGAAACCUUCUUCUUUUGGGGCUCGAUCUGAUGCCAUAACCUUCCUU
ensembl:processed_transcript